rnacentral:rRNA from 1 species
AACGAACGCUGGCGGCAUGCCUAACACAUGCAAGUCGAACGAGACCUUCGGGUCUAGUGGCGCACGGGUGCGUAACGCGUGGGAACCUGCCCUUAGGUUCGGAAUAACUCCCCGAAAGGGGUGCUAAUACCGGAUAAUGUCUUCGGACCAAAGAUUUAUCGCCUUUGGAUGGGCCCGCGUUGGAUUAGCUAGUUGGUAGGGUAAAAGCCUACCAAGGCGACGAUACAUAGCUGGUCUGAGAGGAUGAUCAGCCACACUGGGACUGAGACACGGCCCAGACUCCUACGGGAGGCAGCAGUGGGGAAUAUUGGACAAUGGGCGAAAGCCUGAUCCAGCAAUGACGCGUGAGUGAUGAAGGCCUUAGGGUUGUAAAGCUCUUUUACCCGGGAUGAUAAUGACAGUACCGGGAGAAUAAGCUCCGGCUAACUCCGUG